rnacentral:lncRNA from 1 species
GAACUCCAAGGCAAACCACAACAGUUAAAGUCCAUCAUUCUGUAACUAAGUCAUUAGUGAUGUUUCAUGUAGAUCAACCCAGUCAGCAUUUUACCUUCUGUCCUUGCACCUAUAGUAAAUUGUUUGUUCCCUUUUGUGACCUUUGGCUCAUUGUUUCACAGCCUCUCGGAACGGGCUCUGAGCUGUAGGUGCGUGCUCCUUACCUCAGCAGCAAUUGCCUCAGGAUACCUGAACACUGACUGGCGGAGCUCACAUUGCAGAUUCAAUUGUCCGAGAAGACUAAAUAGCAGUCUUAUUGCAAAAGCGCUUAAUAAUUACUAAUAUUAGAAUUUUAGGAAUUCUUAAUCAUCAAGAAUUAAGACAUCAUCUAUCAGCAUGUCUGUCUAUACAGCGUGUCUGUCUACACAGCAUCACUACAAGGCAGUACAUCUCUGUAUUUCUGCAGACAUCUGCUCAAAAGCGUGGCUAAUACUGAGUGGAUGUUAUAUCUAUUUAACCAUAGCAGGAAAAGCAUAUUAAUAGCAGGAAUCUUUCCUAAAAUAUAAUCUUCUUGGCCUUGCCUAGAGAAGCAAGUCCAUCAUUAACUUCAUAGUCCACGACAGAACCAUCUCAGGAAGAUCACCUGCUAGCUGUUAACUUCUCCUUGAUGGCUCCUGGCAAACCACCAUCCUCCUGGUGCCUAAUUUGUGACUUGCAAAGGCACUGGGCUCCUGGUGCCUCUCUAGCCCCAUCCACACAGCCUACACAAAGGUCAGAUUAGAGCAAAUGAAAAGGCGUGGUGAAGUAGCCCUUAGGUCGAGCCUUGUAUGGUUGGUUUCUCAGCCCCUCUAAAUCCUUAAGACUUCCUGUUAUUUCCAUAAUUACAGGAUUAUUAACACAACAGUGAUGGGACUGGAGAUGAGGGGACUUCAAAUGGCACUGUCCCCUCCCUGUGGAGGUGUGUGUCUUCCAGAAGCAGAUGCACAUGUUUCCUGUUGUCUAACACUGUAGUUAUAACCUGAGAGAAAAUGUGUACGAAGAAGUAAUGCCUACCUUGGAAAACAGAGUUUUCAGAAACCAUGAAUUGUUAGGAAAAAAAAAGUGUAAUUUUUCAUGUGGUAAAUUUCCUGUCAGGAUAGGUGUAGAAAAGCUUUUGCUUUCCUAGAUAGUUCACUAUUGCAGAGACAUUGCCAGAGAGAGCGGACAGGGGUGCCUGGUACAUCUGGUGGGUAUACCCUGUGGUGACAGACAUUGGCUUUGGUCACAGCCUCUCUGGAGAGAUGGCCCUGGCUGUUUUAGUCUGCCCAUUUGUCUGUGGAAGGUUGGCUGUGUACCUUGGGAGUGUUUCCUUGUGUUUUGUGUCUUUCUGCAGUGGCAGUCCUGUAGAGGCAGACAUGCCUACCCAUAGGAGCCUGGGGUG